UACGUAGGGUGCGAGCGUUAAUCGGAAUUACUGGGCGUAAAGCGUGCGCAGGCGGUGAUGUAAGACAGGUGUGAAAUCCCCGGGCUUAACCUGGGAACUGCAUUUGUGACUGCAUAGCUGGAGUACGGCAGAGGGGGAUGGAAUUCCGCGUGUAGCAGUGAAAUGCGUAGAUAUGCGGAGGAACACCGAUGGCGAAGGCAAUCCCCUGGGCCUGUACUGACGCUCAUGCACGAAAGCGUGGGGAGCAAACAGG
rnacentral:rRNA from 1 species